rnacentral:rRNA from 1 species
UCGAGAAUCUUUCGCAAUGGGGGAAACCCUGACGAAGCGACGCCGCGUGCGGGAUGAAGGCCUUCGGGUUGUAAACCGCUGUCACUUGGGACGAACACUAUUGGAGGUAAUACUUCCAGUACUUGACGGUACCAAGAGAGGAAGCCACGGCUAACUCUGUGCCAGCAGCCGCGGUAAUACAGAGGUGGCUAGCGUUGUUCGGAUUCAUUGGGUGUAAAGGGUGCGUAGGCGGUUUGGAAAGUCAGAUGUGAAAUCCUACAGCUUAACUGUAGAACUGCAUUUGAAACUUCCAGGCUAGAGUGUGGGAGAGGUGAAGGGAAUUCCCGGUGUAAGGGUGAAAUCUGCAGAGAUCGGGAAGAACACCUGUAGCGAAGGCGCUUCACUGGCCCACAACUGACGCUGAGUGCACGAAGGCGUGGGGAGCAAACG